rnacentral:lncRNA from 1 species
UUUCCAUAUCACCUUCUAUUGUCAUUGCCUCUAGCAUUUGUUCAUCCUCAGCAAUUGACGACUGUUUAGCACUUAGUCGAGUCAUGACUUGGGUCCUAAUUGGGUUGCACCAGAACAGGACAACACCACCCCUAUUUUCGUAUCUCCUUCCACCAUUGUUUCAUCAAAUAUCUAUCUAUUUUUAGCAGAUGCAUAUUGAUUC